AUUGAACGCUGGCGGCAGGCCUAACACAUGCAAGUCGAACGAGUGGCGGACGGGUGAGUAAUGUCUGGGAAACUGCCUGAUGGAGGGGGAUAACUACUGGAAACGGUAGCUAAUACCGCAUACCAUCAGAUGUGCCCAGAUGGGAUUAGCUAGUUGGUGGGGUAACGGCUCACCAAGGCGACGAUCCCGAUCUGGUCUGAGAGGAUGACCGGCCACAGUGGAACGUGGACACGGUCCAGACGCCUACGGGAGGCAGCAGGUGGGAUUAUUGCACAAUGGGCGCAAGCCUGAUGCAGCCAUGCCGCGUGUAUGAAGAAGGCCUUCGGGUUGUAAAGUACUUUCAGCAGGGAGGCGUUACCCGCAGAAGAAGCACCGGCUAACUCCGUGCCAGCAGCCGCGGUAAUUC
rnacentral:rRNA from 1 species